CAUCUGAUUCACAAACCCCCAAUUUCCACAUGAAGAUAUAAAGAAAGGAGUUGUCUUUCUUCUUAUUUUCAAGUGGAAAUUGGGGGGUUGUGAAUCAGAUG